GCCACAGGCCUGGAGCAGCAAGGAGAAGCAGCUAUUGUACUUCCCAGGGGGUUAAAUGGAAAGCAGGCCAUCUAAGAGAAAGUUAUUACAUCAAUUCCAGCCUUAUUGCAGCAAACCCAACACCAUUUCAUCAACAAAGCUCAUCAAGCCAAAACUACACGAUGUCCUCAAAUUAAAUGAUGACUGGACCACAGCGAAGCCUGCAGGAGUUGGAUGGCUCGGCCUAGGUUGGCCUUCACUGUACAAACAAUGAAUGCCACUUAACAUUGGAAGAGACACGAACGGUCACAGUCCAACCUCUGCACAUGUCGCAGAUCUCACUACUGCUACCUCUUUAUCCAACCUCCAUGGAUUCAGAUAUAGUUU